CUAAUUAGAUGCGUGGAUAAGUGACAAAAAUCGUUCGUCAUAAAUUCUUAUAUUUAGUGACAAAGUACGUAAUAUCGUCACAAUUUUAUUUGGAGGCAAAAAUUUCUAAAAAAAUUUGGAGGGAAAUUUUUUAAAGACGAAAAAAUAUUAAUUUAUGACAAUUUGUAUUGUCACAAAUACCAAUUUUAUAUGACGAGAUAAUAGUGCGUCACUAAUUAGCUGCGUGGAUAAGUGACAAAAAUGGUUCAUCAUAAAUUGUUAUAUUUAGUGACAAAGUAUGUAAUAUCGUCACAAUUUGAUUUGGAGGCAAAUUUUUUUUAAGAACUUUUGGAGGUAAAUUUUGUAAAGAUGAAAAAUUAAUAAUUUAUGACCAUUUUUAUUAUCAGAAAUAACAAUUUUAUAUGACGAGAUAAUAGUGUGUUUCUAAUUAAAUGAGUGGAUAAGUGACAACACUGGUUCGUCAUAAAUUCUAUUAAUCCCACUACAAAAAAAUGGACAUUUGGCAACGAUUUAUUGGGCAAUGACUUAUAAAGUCGUUGCCAAAAAUAUAUAUUUAGCAACAAAAUUUUUCAUUCGUUUCAGUUUCUAAAAGGCUUUCAUUUUUCGUAACGAAAUUCAUAGGUUGGUGCAAAAUUUCGUUGUCAAUUUGUUAGUGGGAAAAAAAUAAUUUCCUACCUAUUUAAUUUUUUUUGUUGUCGAUGUUAUUUCUCCUCAUCUUGGGCAAAAAAUUGUUUUUUUGCUAUAUUUCGUAUCCUAAUAUGGGCUACAUUCGUUGUCAACAAUUUUUUUUCAUUGCGUAUUUUGUAUAAUUUUUUGCAACGACUAGUAAAUUGUUGCCCAAAAUUAAGAUAAACUCAAUAAGCAUGUUUCGACCUUUUUUUUUCCAAAACGCAUCAUUUUUCAUUUCAAAAUUAUUAUUUAUUUGGACGCAAACUAAUAUAGUGAAAUGUUUCACUUCCUCUGUCUCAAAAUAAGUGUCCAGUUUUAAUUUUUUGGUCAGAUUUAUAAUUUUUGAAAUUAAAAUUGAGCACAUAUAGAUAUAAUAUUUUCUAAUUUAAAAAAAAAUUAAAGUUUGUAGUAAAUUAAAUGUAAUUUAUAAUGACCAUAUUCUCUCACUUAUAAUUUUUUUAAAAAGUAAUUAUUUUCUAAAAUAAUUUAUAUGAAUUUUUUCUUGUAACUCAUUUUUUACAUAUAUAAGUUUUGACAAGGGCUGAGCAAAGAACCGAAAUCGCCUCCGAAAUCACACAAAAAAAAGGGAAAAAGCACCUUUAUCUCAUGGUGGUCGUCGUGUUUUAAGCAAUUAGUCACUGUAGUUUAAAAAAAUUCAAUUGGCCCACUGUGUUUUUUAAAAAAUUUUAAUCAAGUCAUUCCAUCCAAUUUUACUCACGGACAUUAAAAAAUUGAACCAAUUUUCCUACGUGGCUUUUGAAAAAAAAAUAAAAUAAGUUAUUUCUUACGUGGCAAGCCAGUCAGCCAAAUUCCUAAUACAAUUGUAAAUUGGAAAAUAACACAUUUACCCCAUUGUGUUCGUCGAGUUGUAAGUAUUGAGCCACUCUACUUUAAAAAAUAUAAUUGGUCCAUUGUGAUUUUAAAAAAAUGCUUAAUUGGGCCAUUUCGUUAAAUUUAGUGGAUGUCUGUUUAUUUAUUUAUUACAUGACAUUUUAAAAAAAGAAAUUCAAGGAAAUGACGUGAAAUCAAAUAAUCAGACACACGUGGAUAUAGUAUGCAUAUGCUAAAAAUGAGGUAAAAAAUAUUUAUAAUAUGUAUAAUAUUAAUAAAAAUUAAUAUUAUAAUGUUUAUAAUAUGUAUGUUUUAUUUUAAAAAUAAAAAUAAAAAUACUUUUAUAUUUUAAAAUACGUAUAAAAUUCUUUUAAAAUACGUAUAAAAUUCUUUGUGUAUACUACCCUCCUCAAAUUCCAACCCAAACCCCUUCUUUCAUUCUGAAGUAAUUUCGCCACAUUCCGGUCGAUAUUAUCAAUUUUUCACCUAUUUGGGUAUGUUUAUCAUUGAAUUGGGGUCUGGGUGUUGAUAUCCCUCUUCUCUUCAUUCUUAGGUGAUUCUUAAAAGUUCCAAUGCCUAUAGGUAUUACCGAUUUUGUUCUCUGAUUUCACUAGUACAAAAUUAUAAAAAGAUAACACUUAAAUGAUGAUAUUUUUAUAAAAAAUAUUGUGGUAUUUUUUUUUAUAAUAUUUUUUAAUAAAAUGUUGUAGAUAUAUAUAAAAAAAUAUUAUGUAUUUAUAGGGGUAAUUUUGAUUUUAAAUAGAAUGUUUUAAAAAAAAGCGUUAUCUAUGUAAAAAAAACGCAAUUUGAAAUGGAACGCGGAAGGAGUACUUUCUUCUCUCUCAUUUCUUCCUCUCAUUCUUUCUCUCCCAUUUUCUCUCUCUAGCAGCAGCGGCGACAAACCCUCGUCCCUUCGUCGCUCCCUCGCCAGCGACCUCCUCCUCUUCUUCCUCCUCCUUUAUCUCUCUCUCUUGCUCUCUUAUAGUAGAUCGAUAGUCUCCUCCUUUUUGUUCACAAACAUCCCAUAUUCAGUUGCAGUCGACCGUUUUAAAGUUCAAUUUGGUAAGAGCUCUUCUCUCUCUAUAUUCACAUACGUAUAUAUGUAUAUAUCUGCAUAUUAUAUGAAAUAUAUUAUUGUUAUGUAUCUGAAAAUUGCUUAUUUAAUUUCAGAGAAGAAAAGCAAAGAUGAGUAAAGGGAUAGGAGGAGCGGUCGGAGCCAAGGGGAAGAAGAAGGGAGCGACCUUCGUGAUUAACUGUAGAAAGCCGGUGGAGGACAAAAUUAUGGACAUUGCUUCACUGGAAAAGUUCCCUCAUGAGAGAAUCAAGGUCGGUGGCAAGGCCGGAGCUCUUGGUGAUUCUGUCUCCGUCGUCCGCGAGAAGAGCAAGAUCACCGUCACCUCUGACAACAGCUUCUCCAAAAGGUAUUCAAAAAUUUAAUAUUGUGAUUUCUUUACCCAUUUCUAGGUAAGAACAUUAGAGUUGAUUUAUACCCUUGAUUGCUCGACCCAUAACUUAAAUCUGGUAUGUAUCGAUUAAUUAUGAUUUUGAUAAAUUUCUGAUUUUUCUCACUCCUGUUGGGGAUUUUCACUGAAUGAAUGCAUGUUCUUCAAUUUAUCUGGAUGUUUUUAUCUUUGAUUUAACCAUCUGCUGGCUGCUUUUGAUUGUUGAUAUGUAUAUGGGUUGAUUGGAAAAUUAAUGGGUAUGUAUGAAGUUAACACAUUGAUUAUUGAAUUUUCGGUUAUGGGAAUCUCUUGUUUGAUGAUUAAUUAUGGUGUUUUGCUGCGGAAAUGAUGUUAAUUUGUAUAUUCUAAUACUUAUAACAGAAUCAAUGGUAUGAUUAUAGUUUUGUUUAAUUGGACAGUUUUUUUUGUUUAACUUUAAAAAUUUGAUUUUGUAUGUGUAUUUUAAAAAUAACCAGUAAAUUAAAUUUUCUAUAUUAUUUGAUAUGUUGAUAUUUUACAAAUUGUAAUGGCACCAAUGGUUGCUAAGGCAUGUAGUACUAAUUCGAGUCAAACGUCACCUGCUAUAUCUGUUCAAGAAACGGGAAGUAGGAAUAAGAGGAAAUUCUGUACUGAUCCACACAUAUCUGAUGAGGAACAUCAGAGUGGGUGUGAUAUAUUUAGUGAAAGUCAAGACAAUUCCAAUGAUUUGACGCUUGAUCUUGGAUUUUCUUAUGUGCUAGGGCCAUCCAAGGUGGUGCCAAGCGAUCCCAAGGAGGAGAUAGCAGCUACUGAUGAACUGCAAGAUGCUCAUUGGAGCGAUCUAUCUGAAUCUUAGUUAAAGGAGCUCGUAUUAGAUAACUUGGACACAAUUUUGAAGAGUGCAAUAAGGUAGAUAGUGGACUUUGGUUACACUGAAGACAUUUCGACCAAGGCUGUUCUGAAGUCUGGCAUUGGUUAUGGGUGUAAAGACGUUGUGACAAAAAUAGUGGAUCAUGCAUUGGCGUUUCUUAGAUAUGGCCAGGAGCUUGAUCUAUCAAGGGAAAUCAAUUUUGAAGAUCUACAUGAAUUGGAAAAAUAUAUAUUAGCGGUGUCGGCCUGCCUUCUUCAUGAAGUUAGACCUGGUUACAGCACUGGAGAUGCAAUGUGGCGUCUUUUAGUAUGUGACAUGAAUGGGGUUGGGAUUAAGACUCUUAGAAUAUCAUAUUUGUGUUUGCUUCUGAUUUUUGAUGUUUGGCUGACAAUGGCAUGCCUUGGGAUCUUGUAGAGCACCCAAAUCAAUUCCUAGUUACCCAACUUUGCUGAACUUUCCUUUAAGCUUUUAAUUAAUACCAAAGCCGUCAUGGGGGCCUAACAACAACAUAGGAAUAAGUAGGAGAUUAGUCUUUUUAGAAGGGAAAUUGAGAAGUGCUAACUCAAAUACUUGAGGUGCAAAAAUCUCAAUUUAAUCAACUAAAGAGAGAUCAUGUGAAAAACACGUGGUUCUUCCUCUCUCUGACCUUGAAACAUGGGAAAUUCAGUGUUUCACAAACAUGCAGCAUAACAUUUUUUUUACAGGUUGCAAGUGUAGAUUCUUUCCGAGGGAGAGAGAAGGAUUACAUUAUUUUGUCAUGUGUGAGGAGUAAUAAACAUCAGGUUGGUUGAUAUAGUUUUUAUUUUUAAAUUAUUUUACCUUGACUAAUAUGGCUUUUAGAUCUACUUUAUCUUAUCCUUUCAUUGUACGAGUGUCAUACAUUGUUACUCUGUUUAUUGCUUUGUCCUUUAACUUGAUUGCAACAAUAGCUUUGUAAAUAAUUGAAUAUUGUAUCUCAGGUGGGUGAGGAUGAAUUCGGGUACAUGUUAGCUGACAUUUUGAAACAAAACAAGGUCAACAACUCUGGCAUGUGAUUUGACCCAGCUGCAAGGACAUCAUUGGCAUUUGUUACACUAAGGUCUGAUGGUGAGCAAGAAUUUGUGUUAUUCCGUAAUCUUAGUGCAGAUAUGCUUCUUCGUGAAUCAGAACUAGAUAUAAAUCUGAUCAAGCAGGUCUGUUUUCCUUGUCUUUUUUCUCAUCAAUUAUGCAGCACUUGAUUUAUUGCUCUUAGCGCUAGUUUUGAAUUUAAAAUUGAGUUUUUGUUUUUAAAGUUGGUAUCUUUUUGGGUUUUUUUCCCUUUCCCAGUUAACUGAGGAUUGGGAGAGACACUGUUCUCUGCAUUGAACAGAGCAAGAAGAAAAGCUUUCAGUAACAUAGCUGUGGGAUACAACAAUGUUGAUGUCAAUGCUGCCACUAAGUACGGUGUUGCUAUUGGCAACACUCUGUAAGUUUUUAUCUCCUUCGGAUAUGCUUUUUAGUUCUGAGUUGUCAAAAAUUUUGUGCUUUUAUGUUUCAUGUAGUUUCUCUAUAUAUUUCCUAGACUACUUUGCAUGGAUAAAUUUAGUUAGUCAUGAUGGUUUUGUUAGAUAUUGUUAGUAAAGUUGUACAUUUCUGCAUAAAAAUGUACUAUUCUUGGUAAUUUUGGUUCUGUGGAGAAGUAUAAUUCUGGGCUUUGUGUGAUCAAAUAAGUAUAUAGAUGUAUAUAUUGAGAUAUAACUCAGUGGCUAUAUGUCUAGGGUGUGCUCACUAAGACAACAGCAGAGCUUGCAGCAUCACUUUUUGUAGCAGCAACUAGAAGAAUUGUGGAAGCAGAUGAGUUCAUGAGGGCUGGCUUAUAUGAUGGAUGGCUUCCUCAUUUGUACGAGCACCGCUAGUUACCAUUAUGUUCACUUGAUUGGCUCUUAUUGAGUUCAAUUGUAUGAUUGGACUUCUAUAUAUGUUCUUAUAGGUUUGUAGGAAAUUUGCUUAAAGGACAGACUGUUGGUGUGAUUGGGGCUGGACGUACCGGAUCUGCUUAUGCUAGAAUGAUGGUAAUGCAUUCGGAUUCAGCUUAUUUCUCAUUCUUGACAUGUUUCCCCUGAUCCUCCUAAAUUUGUAAAAGGGGUAAAAGGACUGUUUGAUGACACAUUUCUUGUGAGAAAUCUAUCAUACUUCCAGCUUUCUAAAACUUUUUUAGUAAGCCAUAUGGAUAUUAUACUCCAGAGAAACUUCAUGCCUGUUGUUCCAUUACAAUCAAUGUUAGAUUAUUUCCUUAAUAUCUCAAAUAUCAAUCUCUUUUUUCUUAUGAGUUUAUUUCAGGAGAGUUGGAUGAGUACAUUGUUUAGCUGAUAGAAUUAGUGUCGUUCUUAUUUGGAAGAUUGAAGGCAAACUAAUCAGGAUGGAUGAAUAUUCUACAGGCAUUGCAGGGUUGGCAGUCACAUAUGGAAUCAAUUUAAAUGUUCAACAAGCAUCAGUUAUUUGGAAUAUAUGCAAUGCAGAAAUUAAAAUGAUUUCAGUUGAAAGAAUUCUUUAGUACUCAAAACUUACCAUGAAGCACCUCUGGUGAUUGAAAAUUGCAGACCAUCAAAAAACUGGCCAGAAACCGGAACAAUUUGUUUUAAAAACUUGCAGGUAAAUUUUCGCAACAAGGUAUUUAGAAUGCAUUGUAUUAUUGGUUUUUGGCGUGGCCUUUGAUGCUAUAGGGGGGUAGUGGCAAUGGUGCCGAAACAGGAUCAAAAGUCUCCCAUUGAGUGGUUAUGACAACUGAGCCUGAUGCUGAGUGCCUUUCUGGUUGUUGUCGCUGUUGCAACAUUUGAAAUGGUAAAUUCUCACCUGAACGCCUUGAUUGUUGCUAUUGAGUUGGGGAUGCAAUUUUUCCAUCUGAAUAUCUUUGUUAUUAAUGCUUUUAAAUUGGUGAUUACUGCUUCUGCGGCUGCUGCAUUGGACUAUUAUGAGUUCUGCUCGGCAUUGAAUUUUUCACCUUUAAGAUAUCUUGAGUUCCAACGCAAUUCUGCACUCUUUUUACCUUCAAAUUGUUAGAAAAUAUGAACUUAAUCUUUGUAUCUAUGAAAAUUUUUGAACCUCUCUUCCCUCUCUGGGUUUCCUUUCUAAAUAGUUUCUGUAAGGGUCUCAUGUUUUGUGGUUAUUUAUCAAUAUUUCAUGUUUUUUGGUUGUAGGAACAAUUAUGAAGACAAGUACAAGAGACAGAACUGUACAACUCAGGAAUUCAGAAUAAGUUGGCAAACAAUCCAGAAUUCCUAUGGUUGAUUAAGACAGCACUAGCCUAGGGACAGAAAGAGUCAAAAACAAUUCCUGAUAAGCUUGUCGACAUUCAAAACUUCUGAACUUUUGGUCAUAUUUAAAAAGUUGGAUAUUUUGUUUACAAUGUUAAACUUGAUAAAUUAUUGAUGUUAAGUAGAAUGGAUGAUACUUUGGAUUCUAAUUUUUUUAUUUUGGUUAAAUAUGAUGGAAAAUGGAAAUUUAGUUAUUUUAUUAUUGGUGUUUUUUAUCAUUACAAUCAUUUUGGUUAAAUAUUAUUGGUGUAUUCUUUUUUCUUAUUUCUAGAUCUAUAAUUUUAUAUUUAGUUUUUCAUUUAGUCACAACAAAUAAUUGUUACUAUUAAUAACUCUUUCUGUAACGAGAUGUAUGGUUCAAUUAGUGACAUUGAAAAAUGUGUCCCAGAAAGUAAUUCUUUGGUGACGAAUUAUUUUGUAAUAUUAUUUAAAAUAUGAAAUGACAAUGAAAUAAUUGUCAUGUUAAAUAUAUUAUUUGGUGAUGAAUUGUUCUGUCGUCAUUUAUUUUCUUAUUUUUGGUGACGAUAAACACAAUAACAUGACGAAAGAAUAAUCAUAAAUAUGACAAUAUUGUCAUUAUUAAAAUUAGAUGAUUUAAAUAGAGUAACAUAUUUUCGUCACUAAAACAUUUAGUGACGACAUCAAAUAUUGUCAAAUAAACCUAAUACCACGCUCAUACGGUGACGGUCUCUGUGACGAUUAACAAUCGUCACUAAAUGUUUUAGUGACGAAAAAUGAAUUUUAUGUGACAAAUUUUAGCGUCAUUUUUUGUGUGAUUUCUUGUAGUGAAAUCUGAUAGUCGUGUCUAUAGUAGAUUCAAUGAAAAUUGUGGUGUGAUUAUUUUUUUAUAUGUGGAUGACUUACUAAUAUUUGGUACUGAUGAGAAAGUUGUGAAAACUACUAAAGACUUUUUAUCUUCUAAAUUUGACAUGAAAGAUUUAGGAGAAGCAGAUUUGAUUCUUGGCAUGAAAAUAAAUAAACAUGAAAAUGGUUUAGUUUUAUCACAGUCCCAUUAUGUGGAAAAUAUUCUUAAGAAAUUUAAUUUCUUUAAUGAAGAGCUAUUAGGAACCCCUUAUGACUCUUGUGUGCAUUUAAAGAAAAAUAAAGGGAAUGAUAUUGCACAAAUUGAAUAUGCUAGAAUCAUUAGUAGUGUAAUGUAUUUAAUGAACUGUACUCGGUCUGAUAUUGCAUAUGCCAUUAGUAGACUUAGCAGAUAUACACAUAAUCCUUCACAAGAUCAUUGGAAUGCAUUGUCACGACUAUUGAGGUAUUUAAAAGGAACAAUUAAUGUAGGAGUACAUUUCUCUUGUCAUCCUAGUGUUUUAGAAGGAUAUUGUGUUGCUAAUUGGGUAUCUGAUAAUGAUGAAACAAAUUCCACUAGUGGUUAUGUGUUUACUUUAGGUGGAGGAACUGUUUCUUGGAAAUCUGCUAAACAAACUUGUAUUUCUAGAUCUACUAUGGAAUCUGGAUUUAUUCCUUUAUUGGCAGGUACAGAAGCAGAGUGGAUAAGAAAUUUAUUGGCAGACAUAUCGUUGUGGACUAAACCAAUUCCUUCCAUUUCUCUGCAUUGUGAUUCUCAAGCAGCUAUUGGCAUGGGAAUGAACCAUGUUUAUAAUGGGAAACAGAGACAUAUUCGCUUGAGACAUAAUAUUGUACGAGGACUGAUCAGUAACAAUGUUAUUUCAAUAGAAUUUGUGAGGUCUGAAAAGAACCUAGCGGAUCCACUUACUAAGGGAUUGAGUAAAAAGGUAGUCCAAGAAGCAUCCAGAGGGAUGAGACUAUUGCCAAUAUUUUGAGUAAAUAAUAUGUGAUGGAAACCCAACCCAUGUGAUUGGAGAUCCUAUGAAUUGGGUUCAAUGGGUAACAACAAGUCAUGUAAUUAUUUAAUUAAAGCACUGUAAUUAUUUAUAUUUCUCCCGUGUGUAUAUGGUUAUUACUAACAAAUUAUGAUAGGAUGAAUCAUUUAGAUUCUUAAUGAAACUCAUAGCCCUAAUGGGUGGUGUAUGUCAGUUUACACUUGAUGAGUUCACCUAUAUAAAGGUGGAGGUGUAUGUCGCUUCCUAUGAGACUCUUUGGCAAACUUUCUAGAGUCUUUAUAAAAAUCUGGGAUAUGACACAUGGCCUAGAACGCGCCCAACCGCGGACUUGUGUGGAUUCAGGAUUUUUAGAUAUGUGUGCGAGUUCAAUCGUUUGUAUCAUAGAUAAUGGGUUCAAGAAGAUAGUUCACCUAUAAUCUACAAUCAUGAGCUUGUUCCACUAAGUUUCGAUUCAAACCCACAAGGUAUCGACGUUAUGUAUCUAAAAUCCAUUGCACUUCUUACUUCCUUUUAAUUUUUCUCUUUUGAUAAUUUUGAAUUAUGUGGGAGGAUUGUUGGUUUUGUUUCAAAAUUUAUAGUUUUGACAAAAUCUCACAUUGUCUAUUUUGAAAACACUCAUUGUGUAUAUUAGUAUAUGUUGGUAUGGGCUUAGUAACAUAGUUUAGGAAAUAGGGAUGUGCUCACGCACAUGAGGAUGACUAAAGAAUUGGGCUAGGCCAAACUUGGAUCUUAGAUUUUUGAUCAGAAAACCUUAGUGCGUGUGUGCGCGCAUUACGCCCGCACAGGGGAGGAUGUCGAUCCGGUUGAUUAUACCUCGCGGGUGCACCUAGGUACCCCACUGUUUUGCUAAAAUUCCUAAUUUAUUUUUAUAAGCCUUUUUAUUAUUUCCGCAGGUUCCCAAUGUUCUCUUGACCGUUUUCCAUUCCCAACGUUCUCUUUUUCCUAACAUUCUGAUCAUAUUGAAGGUUUUGACGUUGAAUCAUGGAGGGUGAACGCUAUGGAACCAAGGUUUAUAACCAGUGAAGACGGAAUCACUUUUUGAGACAGUAGUUUUGUUACGUCUUGGCUUUCUUCGUAUACCAAAUAAAUUAUUCCAAUUUUAUUCGUCAAUUGAUCUUGUUAAUACUGCUAUAUUUUCCAACAGGAAUUAGUAAUAUGAUAGACUUGAACUGAUAAAAUUCAUGACUUCCAGGGAACUUCUUUCUGGGGUCUCCUCCGUGUUUUUCACUGUGUACAGCUGUAUGUAUAGCAGUGAGGAUUUUUCCAUCAUUCAUGAAUAAGUCUUACUUUGACAUAAUUUAAUAAUAUUAAUUAAAACUAAAUGAAACAAUAAUAAUUUUAAUAAAAAAAAUAUCAACUAACUUCCAAAUUUUUUUUAAAAAAAAUAAUCAUAGGAACUUACUUUUUCAAAGGGAAGCAAGUGAUAAAAAAUCAAAAAGUAAAACACACAUUAUAAUUUGGAAUAGAAUGAAUAAAUAUUUAAUUAUCUUCCAUGUCAAUAUUCGUUAGAGAGAGAAAGUGUAUAAAAAAUAGAGAUCGAAGUAAAAGGAAGAAAGAAAUUAAAUAUAAUAAAUAAUUUGUUUCAUUGAACCAUAGUAAUAGUAAGCUUAAAAUUUGAAAAAUGAGUUGACAUAUUUUAUACCCAUAAUUAUUUUUUGGUUCCAACCGACACAACCAAAAACAAAUUAUGUGAUUUUAGUUCUUAAUAGAAUCAUAACCAUAUUACGUAAAGCAAAAUCAAACCAUAUUCAUAAUUAACCAAGCUUAAUCAUUUUAUACUAAAAAAAUAGUUUUUUUUGUAGUAGGAAGGAGUAAUAUGAGAGACUUCAGACUUGAACUGGUAAAAUUCAUGACUUCUCCAAAAAAAAUAACAAUACAAUUCAAUCCAGACAUUUUCAAAAACCAGUCGAUCUCAAAAAGUAAAUCAUUAAAAUAAAAUAAGUCAAGGCAAGUUAUUGCUUUAAAUAAUAAUGUCAAGUAAUAUUACCAGACAUUUUCAAGGCAAGUUAUAGACUAAUAUAUUCGUUGCUGGCUACUUAUCCAAAUUCUAAGGUGAAAAUUUGGUAUAUUUGAAACUUUCGCCGACGGAUAUGACCAGAAAAUAUGGUGAGAGUACCAUAAAUUUUUUAUUUUUUUUUUUGGCUAAAUAUAAACAGUUUUCGUCUUUCCUCUUAUCUUUUGAGUCUUCUCACCAAAAAAAGAAUAAAUAAAAACUGAAGAUUAAUUCUUAAAGUCAUUAGCCAGACCACGAACGUUCUAAUUAGAAAACAAGCAAUUAGAUCAAGCCCUUUUUACAUACUUGAAUUGGACUCAAAUGUUUACAUAAUAAAUAUUUUUCAAAAGAUAUUUUAACUUUUUUAGUAACUAAAUAUUUCUAACUAACCUUACGAAAUAAUCGUGUAGGAUUAAGAUUCUUUCCAUUAAAUAUAUUCUUCAAUUUUUUUCUAAUAUAUAAUUAGUGACACUAAUAUUAUAUUCGAAAAAAUAAAUUUUUUUGCAAAAAACAAUUAGCGACAUAAUAAAAUUCUUUGCGAUGAAUUGUGUCACUAAAAAUAUCACAAAAAAUAAUAUUUUGUGUUAUUGAAUGUGUAUCGAGAAAAACUAAAAAACUGGUACAACGUUGUCGGGUUUGUCAAGUCGCUAAGGGAACAACAACUAAUGCAAGCUUAUAUAUGCCUUUCCCAAUUCCAUCACAGCCAUGGGUGGACAUCAGUAUGGAUUUUGUGCUUGGAUUAUCGCGUACACAACGAGGUAAUGAUUCUAUUUAUGUGGUAGUUGAUCGUUUUUCCAAGAUGGUGCACUUUAUUCCAUGUAAGAAGACCACAGAUACUGCUUGUGUUGCUCAAUUGUUCUUUAGGAAGAUUUAUAGAUUGCAUGGCUUACCGAUGUCUAUUGUGGCUGACCGUGAUACUCGGUUUCUUAGCUAUUUUUGGCGUAGUAUGUGGAAGAUGGUGAACACACAGUUGAUGAAUUUUAGUAGUGCCUACCACCCGCAGACGGAUGGGCAGACUGAAGUGGUGAAUCGGUCUCUAGGCAAUUUGCUGAGGUGUUUGGUUGGCGAACAUGUGAAGAGUUGGGAUCUGAAGUUAUGUCAGGCAGAGUUUGCCCAUAAUCAUGCAGUUAACAGGAGUACUGGAUUUAGUCCUUUUGCAGUAGUGUAUUCUGUUACUCCUAGGGGACCACUUGACUUGCUGCCAUUACCAGCAAAGACGCGUGUUCAUGGGACGUCAGAGACUUUUGUGACUGGAUUUCAGGAGUUUCAUAGGGCUGUUCGUGACAAUCUGUUGUAGGCUACGAGCAAGUAUAAGCAAGCUGCUGAUAAGAAAUGACGUCAUGUUGAGUUCGAAGUGGGAGAUUUUGUGUGGGCUAUUCUUACUAAGGAUAGAUUUUCUGUGGGUGACUAUGUUAGGUUGUCUGCCAAGAAGAUUGGGCCGGUGGAAAUCAUUGAGAAGAUCAAUCCUAAUGCAUAUCGCUUGCGACUACCGAGUCAUAUUCGUAUAGCGAAUGUUUUUAAUGUCAAGCAUUUGAUUCCUUACACACGCGAUUCUUCUGAUGAUGACAAUUCGAGGGAGAAUUAUGUCCACCCUGGGGAGAAUGAUGCGGUUGAAGAAAAAGCGUGUAGGUUUAUGAAAAGAUUUGAUCCAGUUUAUGAAAAGAUUUGAUAAAUUAUGGAAAGAUUUGAUCUAGUAGCAAUUUGGUAAUUUUUGUCGAGUUUGGAGUGUUGAAUUUUGGCAUUUUCGGAGCCUAAUUUCAUUAGAAACGGGUCACCGAUCAAAAGUCACCAGCGUUUUGCUCGUGAACUGCAGGGUUUUUUUGGUCAAAUUUCAUCGUUUAGGCCUUCAAAAUUAUAUUUUAUUGUUUUUGAGUUAUUUUAGGGUUUUGUUAUUUAAGUGUUUGUUAUGAUGGGAUCAAGCAGUUUUUGAUGAUUAAUAAAUUUCUCUUAUUUUCCAAAAUUCUCUGAAUUAGAAUUUUGUUACAUAUUUCCUGGAAUUCGUAGAAUCAAUAGGUUGUAGAAGGUUAUCAUUGGCAAUCGUGUGCGAUUCAACAAUUGAUAACGAUUUCUGUUUACUUCCACUACGUCAGUUGGUAUCAGAGCCUAAGCCAUAUUCACCAUGCCACCCCGUAGAGAGCAACGUGUAGACAAUGUUUAUGGGCGUGAGGAUCUGCAGCGCCUUGAGCAGCGGUUCGAGCAAUGAAUCGAACAACUGAUGGAACAUGGGAUGAACACUAUGAUGGAUCGACUGACACUACGGAUGGGUGAGUUGUUGGCGAACCAAAAUAGGCCAAAUCCAAAUCUUGGGAGGAACCCUACUUAUGAUGAUCGGAGGAAUCCUUUCGUAGUAGAGAAUGAUGAUGGCGAUGACUUUGAUGAUGAUUAUGAGGAAGCACCUCGUGGGCGUCGUCGACCAUAUGCAGUGGAGGAUGAUAGGAGACGUUAGGAGACUGGUAUGAGGACUGAGAUUCCUGAAUUUCGUGGUACCCUCCAACCAGAAGAAUUCAUUGACUGGCUGGCCACGGUAGAAGAGAUCCUGGAAUUUAAGGGUGUUCCUGAUGAUAAAGAGUACCUUUGGUUGCUACCAGACUCAGAGAUAUAGCGAUGGCGUGGUGGCAGCAACUCAGGCAAACGAGGGUUUGAUUGGGGAAGCCAAAAAUUACGAAUUGGGAGAAGAUGAAGAAAUAGUUGCGGGCGACGUUUCUACCUUAUAUUUAUUAGCGAUUAAUGUACCAGAGGUUGCAGAAUUUAAGGCAAGGAGGUUGUACAAUUGAUGAAUACACAACUGAAUUCUAUCAGCUAAUUGCUCAGAACGGGGUGCAUGAGAUAGAAGAUCAGUUGGUAGCCCGAUAUAUUGGGGUUUACAAGAGCAAAUUAAAGAGACAAUCAACAUGCUUGAUCCGAUGUCUAUUUCUGCGACACAUCAGCGGGCUGUGCAAAUUAAGAAGAGGCGUCCUAGUGGUUUUGGAAAAUCUUCUAGUUUUGGGUAUUCAGGAGGAGGUGUCAAUAGUGGUCGUUCAGGCGACGUUGCAGCUGCGAGGGCAAUAGCCAAAACAGGAGCAGUAACAAAUAAUAACAGGAGGAUUGGCCCAGUAAGUGGUAUCAAGUGUUUUGCAUAUGGUGAAGCGGGGCACAAGCAAGCUGAUUGCAAGAAAACUAAAAAAAGGUGAUGUUUGCUGAAAUAGAUGAGGGUGAUGGUAUCGAGGAUGAAACCAUGCUAACUGGUGAACUGAUCUUUGAUUCAGAAGGCGUGGAUGAGGAGGUGGUAACUGGUGAUAUUGGGACUGUGUUGGUGGUGAAGAGGUCCUGCCUUACACCUAGGAUUGUUGAUGAUGAUUGGCUACGAAACAAUAUUUUUCAGUCAACCUGUACUGUUAAAGGGAAGGUGUGUAAGUUUAUGAUUGACGCUGGCAGUUGUGAGAAAAUAAUUUCAGCGGAGGCAGUCCGAAAGUUGGAACUAAAAAUUGAAAAGCACCGAAAGCCAUACAAGUUAGCCUAGUUAAAACAGGGGGGCGAGGUGACUGUCUCAAAACGUGUACUGGUAUCCUUUUCUGUGGGGACAAAAUACAAGGACGAGGUUUGGUGUGAUGUAGUAGCUAUAUAUGGAUGUAUGCCACCUACUGUUGGGACGACCUUAGCAAUUUGAUAGAGAGGUGGUUCAUAACGGUAAAACAAAUACUUACAGCUUUGUGUUUGAGGGGGUAAAGAUUGUGUUAGUGCCCAAAUGUAAAGAAAAUAAAGGCAGCGCUAGUUUGUUGACUUUGGCACAGUUUGAGGAGGCGGUGCAGGAGACGAAAAUAGUGUAUGCCUUAAUCGGGAGGAUGGUUAACAAGGAGGUAGAGGUUCCUGAUGUAGUCAAACUAAUUUUAGACGAGCUCAGUGAUGUAUUUCCAGAUAGAGGAACUGCCUGAAGGAUUACCCCCAAUGCGUGAUAUACAACAUCAGAUUGAUCUAGAGCCCGGGGCAGCCUUACCCAAUCGCCCUCAUUAUAGGAUGAGUCCUGGAGAACAUGAAGAAUUAAGGAAACAUGUGGAAGGGUUACUAGCCAAGGGGUACGUUCAGGAGAGUUUGAGUCCUUGUGCGGUACCAACCCUUCUGACUCCAAAGAAAGAUGGUACUUGGCGGAUGUGUAUCGACAGUAGAGCCAUCAACAAAAUAACGGUCAGGUAUCGUUUUGCUAUUCCGCGCUUGGAUGACCUGCUGGAUCAGCUUAUUGGGGCUACUAUUUUUACUAAAUUAGAUUUGAAGAGUUGGUACCAUCAACUCCGAAUUUGGGCUGGCGAUUAAUGGAAGGCAUCUUUUAAGACGAGGGAGGGAUUGUACGAGUGGAUGGUCAUGCCGUUUGGGUUGUCCAAUGCACCUAACACCUUUAUGCGUGUUAUGAAUCAGGUUUUGAGGCCUUUCAUUGGUAAGUGUGUUGUCGUGUAUUUUUAUGACAUUCUAAUAUACAGUGCUAACCCGAGCGAGCACCUUAGUCAGCUGCGAGAAGUUCUUCAUGUGCUGCGUAGGGAGAAAUUGUAUGCUACAACUAAAAUGUGUCUUUUUGACACCUAGGGUACUGUUUCUUGGUUACAUUGUGUCUGAUGUGGGGCUGCAGGUAGAUGAGUCCAAAGUAGAGGCUGUGAAGCAUUGGCCAAGACCUAGUACCAUUACUGAAGUUAGGAGCUUCCAUGGACAGGUGAAGCAGACGAGGCGUUUGAGCUGAUUAAAUAUCGUCUCAGGCCUUCAAAAUUAUAUUUUAUUGUUUUUGGGUUAUUUUUACCAUGUCCCUGAGAUUUGAUAAAAGAAAGGUGCAUUAGCGGUUAAUACGUUGUAAUUGGAUAAGUUAUUAGGAAUAUGACGGAACGUUGAAUGCCCCCCAACCUUGGCAAGCCAUACCUCUCACCAAAGCGGACAUCGGCCGGAAAACAUGGAUGGUUGAACGGACCUAUCCACGUUACGGUACCCCGUUCGAACAAUCACGCAAUCUGGGCUUCUUCUUGUCUCUCGUUUCUUUUAUGAACAAAUCGAAGAACCUAAUGGAUCGAACUCAUCCUUGGCUGCUACGAAAGAAAUCUACCUUUCUACGUUUUAAGAUAGGUCCUAGCACGGUUUGCUAAGCAUGGUGUUAGCAUGGCGUUCCAAGACCAAACCUGAUGUGUUCUCUUCAUAUUGUUAACAAAAAAAGAAAGAUGUAAUUUUUCUUAUUAAUUUUCCUUUUUCGCUUUUAGGGUUUUGUUAUUUAAGUGUUUGUUAUGAUGGGAUGAAGCAAUUUUUGAUGAAUAAUAAAUUUCUCUUAUUUUUCAAAAUUCUCUGAAUUAGAAUUUUGUUGCUUAUUUUCUGGAAUUCGUAGAAUCAACAGGUUGUAGAAGGUUAUCGUUGGCAAUCGUACGCGAUUCAACAAUUUAUAACAAUUUAUGUUUACUUUCGCUACGUCACUAUAUAUAUAUAUAUAUAUAUAUAUAUAUAUAUAUAUAUAUAUAUAUAUAUAUAUAUAUAUAUAUAUAUAUAUAUAUAUAUAUAUAUGGGGAAUGAUCCAUAGCAUCUAUUUUCUAUAGAUCAAAAAGUGACAUAUAGCAUCUAUACCCUAUGUUUAACAAAUAGAUGGCUGAGAUUUAAAAUGAGAGUACGCCGUCCGCUAGACUUACUAGCGAACGUGUUUAAUCAAAUCUUUUGCCAAGACAGACUACACAAUCCGCUAGUAUGUCUAGCGGAUGGAUAUAAUAGAAUAGUCCAAUAUUUGCACCAUCAAUUCAGUUACAACACUGCUAAACCCACCAGACUGCUAAUAAUAAUGAUGGUAAUGUUGAUGUUAGUAUUUCAAUUAACUAAGUGAUAUUCUUCAAGUUAUAAAUAUGUUAAUAUACAUUUCAAAUCUCUUUCACCAGAGAAUUUGUACCACCAGACUGCUAAUAAUUUGUGUUGUGCUCUGGGCUAAUUUUCUCUUGCACUAUACUUUAGAAGUUGAAUUUUUACAUCAUGUCCGCUGAUUUUGAUGUUGGAAGUUUGAUUAGAAGAUUUAAAAGAAAUCCAAACCCUUGUUUUGAUUAUCAUGAAGUUUCUUCUAAUUAUGACACGCUCCCAAAAUCCAUUGCUCCCACUAGGUCUGGUGCAAAUUCAAUCAUCCAUCCCACUCUCCAAACCACAACAAGAAUUCAGUCCCAAAACAGUUUCAUUUCUUCCAAUUUUCCCCCAAAAUCGAAAGCCCCUUUUGUUCUCAAUCAACCUUCUUUUGAUCAUCAUGGUGCAACUUCAGUCACCAGUCUCACUCCCCAAACCACAACAAGAAUUCAGUCCCAAAACACUUCCAUUUCUUCCAAUUUUCCCCCAAAACCGAAAGCCCUUUCUGUUCUCAGUCAACCUUCAAAUACCAUUGCGCCCACUAGUUAUGGUACUGAUUCAAUCACUGAAACUCGGACCAGUGCUAGUAUUUUUCAGGAUAGGACUAAAAAACCAGAUGCAAACAGAACAAUUGACCCAAAAUCGCCCAUUAUUUCUUAUUCUUUUCUCGAUAAUCUGUCUCCAUUUGAAUAUAAGUUGCCACCGGUUAUCACUUUCGCUUUCACAACUUAAGAAAUUCAAAGUGAUUUUGUCUACUUUCAUGAGUGCCUUUCGGCUGCAUAAUGAAGGGAUAAAAGCCGGACACUUUAGUCAUAUUUUCCUGGUGGAUGCUUCCUCUGCAACGGAACUAGAGACUAUGGUGCCUUUGACCAACCUGACAAAUGAGAUGACAACAGUAGUGAUAAAUGGUGGGCAAAAGAGUCCAGAAGAUUUGAUUAAACACGUCCGUUAGUAAGUCUAGCUGACGACGUACUCCCAUUUUAAAUUUCAGCCGUCUAUUUGUUAAACGGAGGGUAUAGAUGCUAUAUGUCACUUUUUAAUCCAUAGAAAAUAAAUGUUAUGGAUCAUUCCCAUAUAUAUAUAUAUAUAUAUAUAUAUAUAUAGUAGUAUCAAGAACCAAAACAUAGUACUAUAAAGUGUCUGAUAAAAUAGUAAGUGUACUUUUAAAUUAAUUUAUUAACUUAUUGGAAUAUUAAACAAAUUAAAAACCAACUAUUUUCUGACUUUUAUGUAAAACUAAUUUAAAUAUUCAUCAACGCCACUAUUAAAUAUUAAUCAAACAAACUGCAAUAGUUUCCUGGAAACUUCACACAGGAAGGAUUUGAAUUUCUCUUCGGCUUAUUUUAUACUCCCAACUACUUAUGCCUUGUGAAAUGUAAAUGCACAAAUCACAUAAUUUAUAAUAAAAACAGUUAUAGUACACAAUAAAUUAAAUUGUCGAUAUUAUAGCUCAUAGUGAAUAAAAUGUAUUUCAUGUUUUUUUUAAUUAUUAUUUUAUUUUGAUUUUAUUAAGUUGUUAGAUUAGCAGUGACGAUAUUAUUUUAUGCUGUCACCAAAAGAAAUGAGACUAUUUUUUUGAAAAAUUAAAAUAAGCAAAUUAAUGACCGUUUUCAUGGAACACAGAGAGUAGAUAGUAGAAAAUCGUACAUAACAUAGCGAGUUAACAUACUUGGCUAUAACUUAUCCAUGCUGAUUUUUCAAUGUAAAAAUGAAACACUCAAUUACUUAAACUGGUUCCACUUUUCUGUAAUUUGGAUCUACACCUAACCUUGCAACACAAGCUUUUAAAUCUAUCUAAAAGUUCUAAAUCACCUCAAGGGAAUCUAAGAAAAAUAAUAUAUAUGUCGAUAAAUCUCAUAAAAAACUGAAUUAAUUUGAAGUAAUAAGAUAAAAUAAUAAUGUGUAGGUCACUUGUUAAUUCUCUCAUAUUCUGUGUCGAUAUUAACCGUCUAUAUAAAUUUAUUUUAGCAAGGCUCCAAUUAUUAAAUCAUUCGGCUGACAUAGUAAUGUGUGGACUCAGUUUGUGUAAAUCCUUAAAAAAGUUUUAUGAGAAUUAUAUGUUAGUUUGACAAUUGACAUUGUAAAGUAAUUAUUUUUUGCCACGGACUUUCAGCUUACAAUUAUAGCUAUUAUUCAUUUUGCAGUUUUCUUAAAAGAUGAUGCCAUCACCCAUGAUUUGUUUACUUUCUUCAAAAGACAAGAAAUGACUUUUUCUUAUAUUUUGCAUUACGACUAGGUAUGAAAGAGAGUUCAAAGAAACUUAUUCCAUUCGUUUCAAAAUAUAAGGCAAUAUUAACCUUUAAAAAGAUAAUUUGAAAGAUUUUCAAUUUUUAAAUUGGUAUAAAUUUAUUUUUAUUUUUUUUAAAUAUUACUCUUAUACUUGGAGUGGCAACAUAAAUGUGUUUUUUUUUCUCUCUCUCUUCAUAACCAUUUGAAGCACAGCACCAACCUCACAAUUGAUUUCCACUUUAUUUGUAAAAAAAAAUGUAAAAAGUUGUAUCAACUUAAGCAUAACAAUUUGUAGGACAGAUACAAAUUGUUUGAAGUACCAGUAAAUGAUCAAAUUGCCCUAUGUAAAAAAUUGAUUUCCACUUUAUUUGUUAUACGAUGUCAAUAAAGAUUUGAUUAAAAAACCCUUUUUUUUUGGUCAACAAUUUGAAAUUUACUAGAUCAUCUCUAUAUCAACUUGCAGCCUUAGGUUCAUAAAAAUUAGCUAUGUUUCUAGUGUAUAUAGAUACGGAAAUGUCAAAUCAUUAUUUUUCUGAUUGAAUGACACUUAUGUCCCUUUAACUUAUUACCCACUUUUAAAGUCGUCUCUAAAAUUUAUUUUCUGCAUGGUGGAGCAAAUAGAGUUGAGUCAGAUAGAGUAUAAGGGGAUCAUUCACGCGUUUGUCAUCGGAUGUGGUGAAAUAGUCUACACUAAUAUGAUACUUGUGAUGGUAUUCAAGUGAAAGAUGGAUAUUGUUGAGAUAUUUCACAUGAUUCUCACAUCAGAUAAAUUUAAUAGUGUAGAUGAGUUAAUAAGUAUAAUAGAGUAUCAAUCUAAUAUAUAUGUUAACUUUUUAGGUAAGGAGGUGACGAUCCAUCAUGCCUACUGGUCUAAUUUACACACGUGUGCAUUGCAUUGAUGAUAAAUUGAUGUGAGAUAGAUCAUAUAAUUUCGUACUUUGACUAAUUUAACUUCUUCAUGUCGACUUUCUGUGCAUGACAAAUUCUAACAGGAAUUAAAAAAAUAUUCAUAAACUACUAUAUAAAUGAUACUCCCCUGCCUUGGCUUCAAUAUCAAAACAACACAACACAGUUAUAUUAUAUCUUCUUCCUAGCAAAUACAGAAAUUAACAUGAAGUCCCUAAGCAUGAGCCGAACUGCAUACUCUCUCUCCUUGUUUUGCAUUCUUUUUCUCUCUCCUGUUUUGGCAUUGCACACUUGUGAUUUUCCAGCUAUCUUCACCUUUGGUGACGGGAAUUCGGAGACCGGUGGGUUUACUGCUGCCUUCACUGCAGGGACACCUCCAUUUUAUGGACAAACCUACUUUAAAAGGCCAGCAGGAAGAGCCUCUGACGGGCGUAUCUUGAUCGACUUUAUAGGUUAAUAUUUUCGGAUUCUAAUUUCAGACAAUUUGAAAUAGACAAUUUAUUUUUCAGAAAAUGAGAAUAUAGCUGGCACGAGUUGCAUUUAUAUAGCACCUACUUCAUUAUAGAUGACUUUUGUUAUACAAGUAUUAUAUAUUUGCAACUCUCAUCUAUCUAUCUAUCUAUAUAUAUAUGUGUGUGUGUGUGUGUGUGUGUGUGUCAUUUGUUAUAAUAGAACUGUCCAAACAAAGUAACGAACUGCCCAAUUCUAACAGUUCGGGAAUUCAAAUCCUACAACUUCACUCGCUUUCUAGUUACUACAUUACUUACAAACCUAAUGACUAAGUUUAAUGUUGCAGCUUCAAGUUUAGGUAAACCAUUCCUCCACCCUUAUCUUGAUUCCUUGGGUGCUAAUUUCUCUUAUGGUGUUAAUUUUGCCCAACUAUUGGCUACAAUCGCGCCACCCAAGUUAAUUCUUCCGGUGGCCCAACAACCGCGUGCAUUUAGUCCUUUUUUCCUUGACAUUCAAAUCGAACAAUUCAGACAAUUCGUGAAUAGAUCACAGAUGGUCAGAAAAAAAGGUAUAUAUUUUUUAAAUAAUUUGUAUUCUUGCUCAUAUAACUUUUUAUCUUGUACUUUUAUAAAUGUAAAACUUGUUGGUUGUUAUUUAACUUAUUUUAGGAGGGGUGUUCAAGAAUUUGAUGCCCAAGAAGGAAUAUUUUUCCAAAGCAUUGUAUACUAUUGAUAUUGGCCAAAAUGACCUCACCCAAGGAUUGUUUACUAACAUGACAUAUGACGAAAUUAAAGCAAUUAUACCAGCUACUGUCAACAGCCUCGCACUGAAUGUGAAGGUAUAUAAUCCUUGUUUAAUUUGUAUAUAUUUUGGCGUAAUAUGUAAUUAACUUAAAAUUUUGCUUACCAUAUACUAAUUCCUUCUACUUAAUAUGAAUUCUUGCAGAAACUAUACGAUUUGGGAGCAAGAUCAUUUUGGAUCCAAAACACUAGUCCCUUUGGUUGCCUUCCUUAUAUUUUGACAUUGUUACCCGUUCCAGAAGACCAAACAGAUAGUGCUGGUUGUGCAAUACCACAUAAUGACUUAGCUCAAUAUUUCAAUUCCAAGUUGAAAGAAGUCGUUGAUCAACUUCGAAAAGACCUUCCCCUGGCUGCGUUCACAUAUGUAGAUGUUUAUACUCCAAAGUACAAUCUCUAC
rnacentral:lncRNA from 1 species